UAAACAGUGACAGGCCGAAGAGUGUAAAGUCGUAUUACAAGUAAUUAACAAAGACAAGACAAAACAAUUCAAGACUGUUCCAUGACAAAUGUGUUUCCCACGGAGUGCUUUACGGAAUUGUGUAAAUAUCACCAACAGAGGGAGGACGAAAAUGAAAAGAAGGUUGGAGGAGGAAUUUCUAAUCUACAGCAGGGAAAGUCGACCAGCACUCAAGAGAGAAAGACGAGAAAGGAAACUAAAAAGCAAAAAUAAUGAAAAUGAAAUGUUAAAUUAGCGAACAAAUAAUAAAGAGAUGAAAAAAAUCACCAUAACAGAAAUAUAGGCUAUAGAAAAAGAGUAAUAAAGAU